UACGUAGGUGGCAAGCGUUAUCCGGAUUUAUUGGGCGUAAAGGGAACGCAGGCGGUCUUUUAAGUCUGAUGUGAAAGCCUUCGGCUUAACCGGAGUAGUGCAUUGGAAACUGGGAGACUUGAGUGCAGAAGAGGAGAGUGGAACUCCAUGUGUAGCGGUGAAAUGCGUAGAUACUAGGAAGAACACCAGUGGCGAAGGCGGCUUUCUGGACUGAAACUGACGCUGAGGCACGAAAGCGUGGGGAGCGAACAGG
rnacentral:rRNA from 1 species